AUAUUGCGACAAUGGGCGAAAGCCUGGCGCAGCAACGCCGCGUGCGGGAGGACGGCCUUCGGGUUGUAGACCGCUUUUCGAGGGGAAGAGGAAGGACGGUACCCUCGGAAUAAGUCUCGGCUAACUACGUGCCAGCAGCCGCGGUAAAACGUAGGAGGCGAGCGUUAUCCGGAUUUACUGGGUGUAAAGCGCGUGCAGGCGGCCGCGCAAGUCGUGCGUGAAAGCGCCCGGCUCAACCGGGCGAGGUCGUGCGAAACUGCGGGGCUUGAGGCAGGUAGAGGCGUGUGGAACGAUAGGUGGAGCGGUGGAAUGCGUAGAGAUCUAUCGGAACGCCGAAGGUGAAGACAGCCCGCUGGGCCUUUCCUGACGCUCAGGCACGAAAGCGUGGGGAGCAAACCGG
rnacentral:rRNA from 1 species